GUGCACUUUGGCAGCACAUUUACUAAAACUGGAACGACACAGAGAAGAUUAGCAUGGUCCCUGUGCGGGGAUGACACGCAGAUUCGUGAAGUGUUCCAUAUUUGG
ensembl:snRNA U6 U6 spliceosomal RNA